AACACGUGGGUAACCUGCCCAUCAGAGGGGGAUAACACUUGGAAACAGGUGCUAAUACCGCAUAAUAGUCGACACCGCAUGGUGUUGAUUUGAAAGACGCUUUCGGGUGUCACUGAUGGAUGGACCCGCGGUGCAUUAGCUAGUUGGUGAGGUAACGGCUCACCAAGGCGAUGAUGCAUAGCCGACCUGAGAGGGUGAUCGGCCACACUGGGACUGAGACACGGCCCAGACUCCUACGGGAGGCAGCAGUAGGGAAUCUUCGGCAAUGGACGAAAGUCUGACCGAGCAACGCCGCGUGAGUGAAGAAGGUUUUCGGAUCGUAAAACUCUGUUGUUAGAGAAGAACAAGUAGGAGAGUAACUGCUCUUACCUUGACGGUAUCUAACCAGAAAGCCACGGCUAACUACGUGCCAGCAGCCGCGGUAAUACGUAGGUGGCAAGCGUUGUCCGGAUUUAUUGGGCGUAAAGCGAGCGCAGGCGGUUUCUUAAGUCUGAUGUGAAAGCCCCCGGCUCAACCGGGGAGGGUCAUUGGAAACUGGGAGACUUGAGUGCAGAAGAGGAGAGUGGAAUUCCAUGUGUAGCGGUGAAAUGCGUAGAUAUAUGGAGGAACACCAGUGGCGAAGGCGACUCUCUGGUCUGUAACUGACGCUGAGGCUCGAAAGCGUGGGGAGCAAACAGGAUUARAUACCCUGGUAGUCCACGCCGUAAACGAUGAGUGCUAAGUGUUGGAGGGUUUCCGCCCUUCANUGCUGCAGCAAACGCAUUAAGCACUCCGCCUGGGGAGUAC
rnacentral:rRNA from 1 species